UGUGAUUCUUGAAUUUGGAUUGAUAUCUUUAUUGUUGCUGACAUGGGAGAAGCUUUCCAUAUCCAUAACAAAGCUAUCAGAUUUCUCCGUUGUGUAUUGAAAUCCAUUUACGUGAUCCAAAACGGAGAUUUUCUGGGUUUCCAUGUUUUCUUCUAAUCCACCAGCCUUACAGCGACAAUCCACCAGCCUUACAGCGACAAGAAGCCAAAUCCAAUUUUGGAUUUUCCGCCA
rnacentral:misc_RNA from 1 species